GAAUAUUGGACAAUGGGCGCAAGCCUGAUCCAGCCAUGCCGCGUGUGUGAAGAAGGUCUUCGGAUUGUAAAGCACUUUAAGUUGGGAGGAAGGGCAGUAAGCGAAUACCUUGCUGUUUUGACGUUACCGACAGAAUACGCACCGGCUCACCCUGUGCCAGCAGCCGCGGUAAAACAGAGGGUGCAAGCGUUAAUCGGAAUUACUGGGCGUAAAGCGCACGUAGGUGGCUACUUAAGUCGGAUGUGAAAGCCCUGGGCUUAACCUGGGAAUUGCAUCCGAUACUGGGUGGCUAGAGUACGGUAGAGGGAGGUGGAAUUCCAGGUGUAGCGGUGAAAUGCGUAGAGAUCUGGAGGAACACCGGUGGCGAAGGCGGCCUCCUGGACUGAUACUGACACUGAGGUGCGAAAGCGUGGGGAGCAAACAGG
rnacentral:rRNA from 1 species